UUUAUGGUCCCGAGUGACGCAACGACUGUGAACCCCGCCAGGCCCGGAAGGGAGCAACGGUAGCGGAUCUAGUGGGUGCUUGGGGCCACCUUUUUAAA
rnacentral:SRP_RNA from 1 species